rnacentral:rRNA from 1 species
UACGUAGGGUGCGAGCGUUAAUCGGAAUUACUGGGCGUAAAGCGUGCGCAGGCGGUUAUGUAAGACAGGUGUGAAAUCCCCGGGCUUAACCUGGGAACUGCAUUUGUGACUGCAUAGCUAGAGUACGGUAGAGGGGGGAUGGAAUUCCGCGUGUAGCAGUGAAAUGCGUAGAUAUGUGGAGGAAUACCGAUGGCGAAGGCAGCCCCCCUGGGAUAACACUGACGCUCAUGCACGAAAGCGUGGGGAGCAAACAGG